AUAUUCUCAACAGCCCUUAUUUUUCCCAAAACAGUUUACCAGCUUUUUCUUUCCUGAACCAGGAGCAAUCGCAAAAAUUGGCAAUGCGAAGAAACAGGUACCAGCCAGGACACCUGAACCAACUUGGAGCUCAGGAACCCAGGAGGGGAUUGGAGAGAGUGCGGAGACUCCGUGGUCCACAAUGAAUGCUCCUUCCCCAUCCAAAAAAAAAAAAUCCUCUAGCCCAGUUUUUGGGCCGGUGCCAGACUUUUAUUCUGAAGCGUGGGCCACAACCUAUGAGGUAAUCUUUGGAGCUUCAUUCUGAGGCGGAAUCCCAUUGGCCAGUUGGGGAAGCCCCUCCCAGGAUUCCUGGCGCUCCGCCUUCCCCGAAGCCUAUAAAAGCGCAGGUCCCUGCCUCGGCAGCCACGGGACACCUGCAUCUGCCAACAAGACUGGAAGCAGGUGAGGCACACAGAGGGGGAGGCCCGCAGCUGCGUGGGAGGAGGGGUGGUCUGAGGGACAUGGGAUGCCGGGAAUUAGACUGGUUUGCAGGUCGGUGCGUGGACAUUUUCCCAGGAACGGACAGAGACAGCGAAGUUUGACGGUCUGGAAAGCAGAAAUCAGUGGGGCAGACUGCUUGGGAGCACCAAGUAUACGGACAGCGCCUCUCGGGGGUUCCAAGGAGAGAACCGCGAUCUGUUUCAGCACCGGGGCUCAGGACAGUUCCCAGAGGGCUCCGUUUCGGCGCCAGAACCCUGGACAACUCCCCCAGGUAACGGGAGAGCCCUUUGACCCUGAUUUUGCAGGAGGAGGACGAGAGAGGGUGGUGUGA
rnacentral:lncRNA from 10 species